rnacentral:rRNA from 1 species
AGGGUUUGAUCAUGGCUCAGAUUGAACGCUGGCGGCAGGCUUAACACAUGCAAGUCGAGCGGAGAUGAGGUGCUUGCACCUUAUCUUAGCGGCGGACGGGUGAGUAAUGCUUAGGAAUCUGCCUAUUAGUGGGGGACAACAUUCCGAAAGGAAUGCUAAUACCGCAUACGUCCUACGGGAGAAAGCAGGGGAUCUUCGGACCUUGCGCUAAUAGAUGAGCCUAAGUCGGAUUAGCUAGUUGGUGGGGUAAAGGCCUACCAAGGCGACGAUCUGUAGCGGGUCUGAGAGGAUGAUCCGCCACACUGGGACUGAGACACGGCCCAGACUCCUACGGGAGGCAGCAGUGGGGAAUAUUGGACAAUGGGGGGAACCCUGAUCCAGCCAUGCCGCGUGUGUGAAGAAGGCCUUAUGGUUGUAAAGCACUUUAAGCGAGGAGGAGGCUACUGAGAUUAAUACUCUUGGAUAGUGGACGUUACUCGCAGAAUAAGCACCGGCUAACUCUGUGCCAGCAGCCGCGGUAAUACAGAGGGUGCGAGCGUUAAUCGGAUUUACUGGGCGUAAAGCGUGCGUAGGCGGCUUUUUAAGUCGGAUGUGAAAUCCCCGAGCUUAACUUGGGAAUUGCAUUCGAUACUGGGAAGCUAGAGUAUGGGAGAGGAUGGUAGAAUUCCAGGUGUAGCGGUGAAAUGCGUAGAGAUCUGGAGGAAUACCGAUGGCGAAGGCAGCCAUCUGGCCUAAUACUGACGCUGAGGUACGAAAGCAUGGGGAGCAAACAGGAUUAGAUACCCUGGUAGUCCAUGCCGUAAACGAUGUCUACUAGCCGUUGGGGCCUUUGAGGCUUUAGUGGCGCAGCUAACGCGAUAAGUAGACCGCCUGGGGGAGUACGGUCGCAAGACUAAAACUCAAAUGAAUUGACGGGGGCCCGCACAAGCGGUGGAGCAUGUGGUUUAAUUCGAUGCAACGCGAAGAACCUUACCUGGCCUUGACAUACUAGAAACUUUCCAGAGAUGGAUUGGUGCCUUCGGGAAUCUAGAUACAGGUGCUGCAUGGCUGUCGUCAGCUCGUGUCGUGAGAUGUUGGGUUAAGUCCCGCAACGAGCGCAACCCUCACUUUUAGUUGCCAUCAUUUAGUUGGGCACUCUGAAAGAACUGCCAGUGAUAAGCUGGAGGAAGGUGGGGAUGACGUCAAGUCCUCAUGGCCCUUACGUGUUGGGCUACACACGUGCUACAAUGGUAUUUACAACAGGAAGCGAGACGGCGACGUUAAGCAAAUCCUUAAAAAAUACCUCAGUUCGGAUUGCACUCUGCAACUCGAGUGCAUGAAGCUGGAAUUACUAGUAAUCGUGGAUCAGCGUGCCACGGUGAAUGCGUUCCCGGGUCUUGUACACACCGCCCGUCACACCAUGGGAGUUGGUUCUACCUUAAGGCAAGGUUUAAUACCCUUGACCACGGUAUAGUCAGCGACUGGGGUGAAGUCAUAACAAGGUAGCCGUA